rnacentral:rRNA from 1 species
GCCAGCAGCCGCGGUAAUACGGAGGGUGCGAGCGUUAAUCGGAAUUACUGGGCGUAAAGCGCAUGCAGGCGGCCUGUUAAGUCAGAUGUGAAAGCCCGGGGCUUAACCUCGGAAUUGCAUUUGAAACUGGCAGGCUAGAGUCUUGUAGAGGGGGUAGAAUUUCAGGUGUAGCGGUGAAAAUGCGUAGAGAUCUGAAGGAAUACCAGUGGCGAAGGCGGCCCCCUGGACAAAGACUGACGCUCAGAUGCGAAAGCGUGGGGAGCAAACAGGAUUAGAUACCCUGGUAG